GUUGGACAUUUACAGAGACCCAGUAAAUAUUAAAAAUACCAAAUGAUUUCUCCUUGCCUCUAGUUUCCUGCAAAACUGGUCCAUUUGUCCAGUUACCCCUAACCCCUUUCCUUCUGAUCCAACAUUCCAUACUUGCUUAGCUACACUUGUCUUAGUGUUUAAGUUGUACGAAUAAUAACAGUGGGAGAUAAGUUGAAUGCUGGCCUGAGGAUCUUGGAUCUGAGACUUUGUUUUUGUAGGCAAUGGGGAGCGAGCAAAGUCUUUUGAAUACCAGAGGGCCUUCACAGAUCAGAUCUGAUUUUCAGAAAGAUCCCUCUGGUUGGAAAUGAACAGGAGAUGCAUUUGAGAGGUCAUAAAGGCAGGAAGUCCAGGUAAGAUGUUUUUCCAGCAGGCGAAUCAGGAGUUGAUGAACAGAGCAGUGAAAACAGAAACGAGACAGAUGACAGAAAGACCUUGCAGGGAAGGAGAGACAAGGAUUGGUCAUCAGUGAGGAGAGAGGAACUCGGUAAAGAGGCCACUGGAUUGAGAAUGGGAAGGAGCAGAGAGGGUGCAGAGCUCAGAGAAGCCCAUCCUGCCACGCAACCAAGACAGGAAACAUGUAAAGGAUUGGGUUUGAAAUUCACGAUGCCAAUUUCCACUUGAUGCCCCGCUCUUUCGGUGAUGCAGAUCUUGUCUGCCACAGGCAAGAAGGCAGAUGUUGAGCAGAGAGGGGUGUGUUCUCGGCAAAGGCAGGUGAUGUCGAUUGUGGUGAUUGGCGCAAUCAUGGAAGUAAUACUCUGGAGUCUCAGUUUUUCUACCCAUAAUGUGACCUGAGUUAUACCAGUAUGGUUGCAACUAUACUUGAAGGUAAACCUUCUCUUAAGAUCAAGUUCUGCUUUCUGCCAUCUUCUUUGCCAAGAGGCUGUGUUUGGGGGUCCUUGACCAGGCCCUCACUUUGCCUCAUUCUUCAUCGUGGUGUCUGUUGCUGGAGAACCUUCUUUGCUCUGGCUUCAAAUUCCCAUGUGGCAGGAGGCCCAUCACAGUAACGUCUCAGCCGCUCUUGGUCCCUUCUCUGACAGUUUCCCACAGGAGGAGGAGUUCAUUGAUUGGCGGGUUUGGGAGAAGGAACUGGGCAUGCUCACCUCAGUGCCUUCCCUCCUUUCUUCUCUCUGACAGCACACACUUUCUUCUGCUCCUCCAGGCAUCAGGUUCUACAGAGACAGGUCUGCCCCAGUCCAGUGCUGUCUCAGACUGGAUAGCUGUCUGCCUGAUUCU
rnacentral:lncRNA from 1 species